CUUGGGCCAUGCUUUCGUAUAUGUGGCCCGUCUUGCGUUUAGGGUUACGUGUGCGUCUUCUAGAUUGCCGAUCUACGCCGUCCUCUUUCCAUCGUCUCCGACUUCAUCUCCUCUCUCUGUAACGUCUUGCUUACUGACUUCGUCUUCACAGCCAACGUUACGCUUAGCAAUAAUGUCAAGCAAUAAAAGUGUCCUUCAAUGGAGCUUUCAAUCUACGUACUGACUUCGCUUGACUAUUCAGUAUAAAUAUGUACCUCUUGAAAGCAUUUGAAGGAUGCAAGCUGUGUAGAAAAAGUGGUAGACAAACCAUUCGAUUUUGGGAAGCCUGGAAUGUGAAGAAAAGGGGCUAACUGAUGGGCGUUGAUAUGGUUCUUAUUGAUUCAAAGUUCCAGGUGCAAGAUUCCUUCUUUUGAAUCAACCUUUCAUUUAUCAAUUUGCCUCACAAAACUAUCAUCCUCUAGAAGAAUUGAAGCCUGGCAAAAGAGUCCAGGAGACAAAACUCUCUCCUGCUGAAGUAGCUAGGACUGCGGUUGAGGUUUGUACCUGAGAAACAAUAUGAGACCACUACUGUCAGAGUUUUGUAUGAACUAGAAUAGUGUUUACUUUUGCUAUGAGAUGCAUUAGCUGAAGAGGAAGGCGGCAGGUCUAAGAAGACCACAAAGACUAGGUGGUCUACACCAGGCGUGAAAAAGUUUUAUCAUUCUCACUGUUAUUUUGCAUUUGAGCUUUUUUAUGUUUUGAGUUUCAUGAAUAAGUACACGUUGAACAAUUUUCUGAACCAUA